rnacentral:lncRNA from 13 species
ACUGUAAAGUCGUCAUCCUUCCUCUGCAUAUGGUGUCUAGUAGGCAUGCUUGUAGGCGAUGUGUCAUGUGUGCAUGCCAAAAUUGUGCAAUAGGGCUGGAGGAGAUGAUUGAUUAGGGGAAGUGGAGAGGAGAGAGGGUAGAACUGCCGGUUUUAGUCACCCUGAUUGAAGGUGACAUAAUAUCGUAUAGUUUCCGUCACCAUAAAAUAAUCGAGACGUGGCCUGAUAGCUACAUCAUUGGCUGAACGCGAUAGAGGCGUGGUUAACGCAGCAGAAAGUCCUAAAAGCAGGGUUGACGUUUAAAAGCGGUUCAUUCGCAGCGGAACGCAGAGAACAGUCUGUUUUACAUCCAUUUGAAUGACUACACAACAAAGAGGAAUUCUGGCGAAAUGGUGUCAAUCUUCGCUGUGCAUGGAGACUGACUGCCUGUUACACGAAUGCAGUAGAAGCCUAGUGGUGUUUCUGCUGAUUAGAUGUGCCAACUUCCUGUCCAUGCACUGUAACUGUUCUCAAGCUCCCAAUGGUACAACAACCUAUCACCUCUCAGAGCCCCCGCCUUCAAUGAAUUGUGAAACAGAGUGGGCAUAUCCAAAUGGAUCCACGCUGACCUUUAAAGGUGAAACAAAUGCAAAUCAGGUUCUGGGUCUGACCAGACAGUCCAUCACUACCACAGUCUGUCUGGGCAGCCUGAAGUAUACGGUGGACUGCGUAAAGCCUCAGGUGGUGAAUAAAGUAGAAUAUGGUUCAUUGAAUGGGGAGGUGCAGCCUGCGAUAAUACAGGGGGGAGUGCUGCUGAAAUGUAAUGUUUUAUGCGUUCUCCACACUCGUCCUCACGAGACGUACUCAAGAGAACAUCCUCGGAGAAUGCACUUGAAGAAUGAGUGUGGAGCACGGUAGUAUGCAUAUUGAUAAACACCCAGAGACUUAGCAGACAGACCCUGCAGCUGAGUUAACAGUUAAUCAGUAAAGAAAGUGAAUAGAUAACCUUGUAGUUGUCACGCCUGCUCCCACUCCCCCCCCCCCCCCCCC